GAUGAACGCUGGCGGCGUGCCUAAUACAUGCAAGUCGAGCGAACAGAUAAGGAGCUUGCUCCUUUGACGUUAGCGGCGGACGGGUGAGUAACACGUGGGUAACCUACCUAUAAGACUGGGAUAACUUCGGGAAACCGGAGCUAAUACCGGAUAAUAUUUCGAACCGCAUGGUUCGAUAGUGGAAGAUGGUUUUGCUAUCACUUAUAGAUGGACCCGCGCCGUAUUAGCUAGUUGGUAAGGUAACGGCUUACCAAGGCGACGAUACGCAGCCGACCUGAGAGGGUGAUCGGCCACACUGGAACUGAGACACGGUCCAGACUCCUACGGGAGGCAGCAGUAGGGAAUCUUCCGCAAUGGGCGAAAGCCUGACGGAGCAACGCCGCGUGAGUGAUGAAGGUCUUCGGAUCGUAAAACUCUGUUAUUAGGGAAGAACAUACGUGUAAGUAACUGUGCACGUCUUGACGGUACCUAAUCAGAAAGCCACGGCUAACUACGUG
rnacentral:rRNA from 1 species